rnacentral:rRNA from 1 species
AUUGAACGCUGGCGGCAUGCCUUACACACGCAAGUCGAACGGCAGCACGGACUUCGGUCUGGUGGCGAGUGGCGAACGGGUGAGUAAUAUAUCGGAACAUGCAUUGUAGUGGGGGAUAACUAUCAGAAAGGAUAGUUAAUACCGCAUACGCUCUAUGGAGGAAAGCGGGGGAUCGCAAGACCUCGUGCUAUAAGAGUGGCCGAUAUCUGAUUAGCUAGUUGGUGAGGUAAAGGCUCACCAAGGCGACGAUCAGUAGCUGGUCUGAGAGGACGACCAGCCACACUGGAACUGAGACACGGUCCAGACUCCUACGGGAGGCAGCAGUGGGGAAUUUUGGACAAUGGGGGCAACCCUGAUCCAGCAGUGCCGCGUGAGUGAAGAAGGCCUUCGGGUUGUAAAGCUCUUUUGUCAGGGAAGAAACGGUUGUGGCUAAUAUCCAUGGCUAAUGACGGUACCUGAAGAAUAAGCACCGGCUAACUACGUGCCAGCAGCCGCAGUAACAC